GAUGAACGCUGGCGGCGUGCCUAAUACAUGCGAGUCGAGCGAACAGAUAAGGAGCUUGCUCCUUUGACGUUAGCGGCGGACGGGUGAGUAACACGUGGGUAACCUACCUAUAAGACUGGGAUAACUUCGGGAAACCGGAGCUAAUACCGGAUAACAUUUGGAACCGCAUGGUUCUAAAGUGAAAGAUGGUUUUGCUAUCACUUAUAGAUGGACCCGCGCCGUAUUAGCUAGUUGGUAAGGUAACGGCUUACCAAGGCGACGAUACGUAGCCGACCUGAGAGGGUGAUCGGCCACACUGGAACUGAGACACGGUCCAGACUCCUACGGGAGGCAGCAGUAGGGAAUCUUCCGCAAUGGGCGAAAGCCUGACGGAGCAACGCCGCGUGAGUGAUGAAGGGUUUCGGCUCGUAAAACUCUGUUAUUAGGGAAGAACAAAUGUGUAAGUAACUGUGCACGUCCUGACGGUACCUAAUCAGAAAGCCACGGCUAACUACGUG
rnacentral:rRNA from 1 species